rnacentral:rRNA from 1 species
AUUGAACGCUAGCGGGAUGCCUUACACAUGCAAGUCGAACGGAGUGGCGAACGGGUGAGUAAUGUAUCGGAACGUGCCCAGUAGCGGGGGAUAACUACGCGAAAGCGUAGCUAAUACCGCAUACUAUUGGAGCGGCCGAUAGCGGAUUAGCUAGUUGGUGGGGUAACGGCAAACCAAGGCGACGACCGCUAGCUGGUUUGAGAGGAGGAGCAGCAACACUGGGACUGAGACACGGCCCAGACUCCUACGGGAGGCAGCAGUGGGGAAUAUUGCGCAAGGGGGGAAACCCUGAUGCAGCCAGGCCGCGUGUGGGAAGAAGGCCUUCGGGUUGUAAAGUACUUUUGGCAGGAAGGCGGUACCUGCAGAAGAAGCACCGGCUAACUACGUGCCAGCAGCCGCGGUAAUAC